rnacentral:rRNA from 1 species
GACGAACGCUGGCGGCGUGCUUAACACAUGCAAGUCGAACGAUGAAGCGGGUGCUUGCACUCGUGGAUUAGAGGCGAACGGGCGAGUAACACGUGAGUAACCUGUCCUUUUCUUUGGGAUAACAGCUGGAAACGGCUGCUAAUACUGGAUAUUCAGUCUGCAUCGCCUGGGGUGGUUUGGAAAGGACGUUUUUGGGGUUGGGUGGGCCCGUGGCCUAUCAGCUUGAUGGUGGGGUGAUGGCUUAGCAAGGCUUUGACGGGUAGCCGGGCUGAGCGGGUGGGCUGGCGCACUGGGACGGAGCUACGGCCCAGACUACGACGCGAGGCAGCAGUGGGGAAUAUUGCACAAUGGAUGAAAGUGUGAUGCAGCGUCGCCGCGUGGAGGGUGUAGGUCUUCGGGUUGUGAUAUCCUGUUUCUAGCGAAAAAGGCAUAGCUUUGGCUGUGUUGAUGGUAGUGGGGGAAGAAGCGCCGGCUAACUACGUG